GCGGCCCGGCCCUUCCUCCCUCGCACGCCUCCUCCUCCUCUUUUCCCCCCUUCUCCUCUUCCUCCCGGAGCCGGGCGCACCGAGCCUGCCCUGCGGCCGCGCUACUGCUCUGACCCUGGCACCACGAAUGCGCUGCGUCUCGGCUUGCCUUAGUUGGGGCGCACCCAGAGAGCUGGGAGAAUCGCCGCGUCCCGAGCGCCCGCCAGCACAGUGGCCACCGCGGCUAGCCUAGGAGCACCCGGGGCCAGAAGGCUACACCAGUGCCAGGCAGUUUUGAGUUCGGAGACCCCAGAAUCUCCUGGCCAGGGCGAUUGCUGUAAUCUCCGCUGGGCACCCGCUGAAGCGAACCCCAGGAAAGGGAAGCAAAUGCAUGGAAGCUCCGCAAACUGGACAAGAAUCCAUCUUCCACUCGAGCUGGGAAUAGACUUUGUAAAAGAUUAUGUAAUGGAGUCUCGGGAAGCUCGAGACGUCUCCAGCGAAGCUGCUGGUGAAUUAAUUAAGUGCUUUAAAUGGUCUAGGUAAAUAUUCCGCCAGGGUUGGGAGGACUGCUGGGGAUGACAGUGGUUUGAGUUGAAUUUUGACUGUCCACUUCAUGUUUUGUCGCUCUGCUGUCUGUGCCAAGGUGCUGUAUUAUGGGCGGGGGUGACUGGAAAGUAACAGCUGAACCCUUGUCCCUGGAGUAAGACGGAAUACUGGAUUAUUACAAGUCUUGACCUGGGGCGAGACCCGUAGUCGCAUGCAUCAUCAAUGUCAUCUGACAUCUGACAUUGCCUUUUUUGUUUCCCAAGCUUACAGACAAAAGUGAUGGGUUCUUUUUCUUUUCUUAAAAAAAAAAAAUGUACUGUGUGUGUAUUAAUAAAGAAGAUGUGUGGUAGAAUGGUCUUUGUGAUGAACCAGGUGAAGAAGCUACCGAAAUUAUGCAAAAGGCCUGGUGUGGAGAUUGUUUCUCUUCUGCGGCUGGCGGAAAAGGUUCUUGCAGUGAUGUAUCUAUAAUUGAUGAGAUGAGAACCAAUGAUCGUCCUGGAAGUUACCCACCAUUCACAGGAGUAUGUGUACUAGGGUAAAUAAAAUUAAUGAACUGAUAGAAAGUAACUUGGAUCAGUAUGGGGAUGGGGGGGUCUGAUCUUGUGGCAAGUAUGAAGUGGGCGUGGAUGGUGACCCUCUAAUUCAAGAUGGUCUGGCAGCAGAAACCUAGCGGACAAGUGGUUUCUGAAAAUCCUGACUAAUGAUCCAAAGUUAAUAGAAGCAGUGUAAAGAGAAAGGAAACAAAGAUACCUUUGAAAUCUUCUGUUUGUGGAACAAAUUUAUACUUAUGAUUAAUACUUUGGUUUAACCACAUUAAUCCUCAACCAAAAAAACAAAGUUACCAGUGGAAUAUUCCCCCAUUUCUGCCAUCAGAAAACUAUAAGCAUGUCUUCAAUCACAUUCCUUUAUUCUGAAGAGAGGAAAGGACUCACUAAUCUCUACUCUAUAGUCUCUUAUCACUGAUUAUUAGGGA
rnacentral:lncRNA from 1 species